rnacentral:rRNA from 1 species
CUGGGAGGACCAUCUCCUAAGGCUAAAUACUCUCUAGUGACCGAUAGUGAACCAGUACCGUGAGGGAAAGGUGAAAAGCACCCCGGAAGGGGAGUGAAAUAGAACCUGAAACCGUGUGCUUACAAGUAGUCAGAGCCCGUUAAUGGGUGAUGGCGUGCCUUUUGUAGAAUGAACCGGCGAGUUACGAUUUGAUGCAAGGUUAAGCAGUAAAUGUGGAGCCGUAGCGAAAGCGAGUCUGAAUAGGGCGUUUAGUAUUUGGUCGUAGACCCGAAACCAGGUGAUCUACCCUUGGUCAGGUUGAAGUUCAGGUAACACUGAAUGGAGGACCGAACCGACUUACGUUGAAAAGUGAGCGGAUGAACUGAGGGUAGCGGAGAAAUUCCAAUCGAACCUGGAGAUAGCUGGUUCUCUCCGAAAUAGCUUUAGGGCUAGCCUCAAGUGAUGAUUAUUGGAGGUAGAGCACUGUUUGGACGAGGGGCCCCUCUCGGGUUACCGAAUUCAGACAAACUCCGAAUGCCAAUUAAUUUAACUUGGGAGUCAGAACAUGGGUGAUAAGGUCCGUGUUCGAAAGGGAAACAGCCCAGACCACCAGCUAAGGUCCCAAAAUAUAUGUUAAGUGGAAAAGGAUGUGGCGUUGCCCAGACAACUAGGAUGUUGGCUUAGAAGCAGCCAUCAUUUAAAGAGUGCGUAAUAGCUCACUAGUCGAGUGACACUGCGCCGAAAAUGUACCGGGGCUAAACAUAUUACCGAAGCUGUGGAUUGUCCUUUGGACAAUGGUAGGAGAGCGUUCUAAGGGCGUUGAAGCAUGAUCGUAAGGACAUGUGGAGCGCUUAGAAGUGAGAAUGCCGGUGUGAGUAGCGAAAGACGGGUGAGAAUCCCGUCCACCGAUUGACUAAGGUUUCCAGAGGAAGGCUCGUCCGCUCUGGGUUAGUCGGGUCCUAAGCUGAGGCCGACAGGCGUAGGCGAUGGAUAACAGGUUGAUAUUCCUGUACCACCUAUAAUCGUUUUAAUCGAUGGGGGGACGCAGUAGGAUAGGCGAAGCGUGCGAUUGGAUUGCACGUCUAAGCAGUAAGGCUGAGUAUUAGGCAAAUCC